CAGAGGGUGGAACAAGAUGAGCUUUAAGGCCCCUUUCAAUCCAAACCAUUCCAUGCUUCCAUGCUUCCAUGAUUCCAUGCUUCCAUGCCUUCCAUGAUUCCAUGAGUCCAUGAUUCUAUGAUUCCAUGAUUCCGUGAUUCUAUGAUUCUAUUCCCACAGGGGACAUGGAAUGGUGCCCCAUCAGGCCAGGUAGCCAGUGGGGACUGACUCAUCCCUCUGUGUCCCCCACUGUGGAUCCUGGCUGUCCCUGAGCCCAGCAGCUGGAGGUGCAGGGGGUGUCCACCAUGGGGACACACAGGUGCUCCAUGCCAGGACAGAGCCUGGCAACUGCUCCAGGCAAUGGAGGAUGGCACUGGUGCGGUGGGUGAGGGGCAGGAGAAGCUGUUGGGACCACUGUGUCACUGAGGCAGCGUUUGGAGGUGUCCAGGUCACCGUGACAACCGAGCACCAACAGCAGAGCAGGGGUCAUGGAGGAGCAGGGCCAAACACGGCCUCGUGUCACCAUCUUCCCACCGCCCCAGAGCCGGCAGAGCAGCAGGCCCCGGUGCAGGCCUGGGGAGCCCUCAGACUGCCCUGGGGCUGGGGGAACCCUCACACUGCCCUGGGGAACCCUCACCCUGCCCUGGGGAACACUCACUCUGGGCUGGGGGCCCCUCACACUGCCCUGGGGGCCCCUCACACUCCGGGAGCAGGUCCUUGGGCUCUGACACGAAGCCCUUUCUCCCAGAGCAGCCCUGCAGAUUGGGACCUUGACUUGGAUUACCCCCUGCCCACCUCCAGCGGCCUCACCAGUGCCCAUGAGCUGCAGCUCCUGGAGGAGAAGAUAAAAAGCUUUGAUGAGGCCAAAAAGAAAAUCCAUCGUCUGCACAAACAAUUACAGCAGCAGUUUUUGAAAGAACAGGAGAGAAAGAUGAUGUUGAGGAAGAAGAAGGCCGAACAGUUUAAAAAGGCCCUGGAAGCGUUCGAUCGCAGGAAUGCCAAGGUGCCAGGUGCCAGCACCCCUCUGCCUGCGGACGAGGCGGAGCCCGAGGAACAGGCAGGAGCUGCCGAGAAAAAAAGCAACCAAGAGACGCGUCCAGAGAGCUCCUCCUGCAGGAGCCGGGCUUACAGCACAUAGAGGCUUUAGGAAGUCAACGCUCCUUUUACAGCAAUAAAUCAGGGCAAUCCCUCUGGUGUCGCUGCCUUUAAAUC
rnacentral:lncRNA from 12 species